rnacentral:rRNA from 1 species
UACGGAGGGUGCAAGCGUUAUCCGGAUUCACUGGGUUUAAAGGGUGCGUAGGCGGGCAGGGAAGUCCGUGGUGAAAUCUCUGAGCUUAACUCAGAAACUGCCAUGGAUACUAUUUGUCUUGAAUAUUGUGGAGGUGAGCGGAAUAUGUCAUGUAGCGGUGAAAUGCUUAGAUAUGACAUAGAACACCAAUUGCGAAGGCAGCUCACUACACAGUUAUUGACGCUGAGGCACGAAAGCGUGGGGAUCAAACAGG